AAUUAAGUUUUAAAAAUAAUUCAAUAUGAAUGAAAUUCUAUUUCUUUUGUCUUGUAGGUCCACCUGCUUCUUGUAUAACUCACUGUCAUCAUUAGUACUCAGUGUGUACAGAUAAAAGAUACUUCACAAACCAAGUACAAAAACACAAAUCUUGAUAUUUAUCAUGAAAAACACAAAGGAAGUGUUGAUUUCUUUUUUGUAGUUCGUAUAUAUCUGUUUUAGUGAAACUUCUCAGUGAUGAAAGCUUAUUGAGGCAGAAUGAGUAGGGGACCGAGAAUGUGGCUCCAAGAUCUGGCCCCGAUUGAUGUUGGACAAAUCACUUAAUACCUUUGAACCUCUUGGCUUAUUGGUAAAAAAAAAAAAAAACAAAAAAAAAAAACUGAGAAGAUGAACUACCCUUCCUCACCUCACAUGAUUUCUGGGAGGAACCAAAAGGGUGCUAUACAGUAGGGCACUUUAUAAAGCAUAGCACCUCUGCGAGGGGUUAUCACCAUUAAACCUUCCAUUCAAUGGAGGUAAAAUGUUUUUUAUUAGUAUUUAGACUAAUUUUUUUUUCUUUUUUCUUUUUUUAGCAUCAGAAUUAUACAUUUGUCCUAGGGCCUGAGGUAAGAAAGAGGAACAAACUUUUCCUUACUGGUCUAUAGCACUUCACCUUCCCCAGCUAAUAUUUUGGGCAUUAGAAGAGGAGGAAGAGGAAAGAGGAUUGGAGGAAGAGGCGGAAAUAAUGGUUUGCUACAUCUGGGAAGGAGGACAAACUGGCCAAAAAAAGAAAACAAAACAAGAACCUUGCUCUUGCAGGCACCAUUAACCCUUCUGCCAUGUAUAUAAUACUGUGUAGUCUAAUGUUCUCUUUUUUAUGAUGGUUCUUUAUUUCUGGAAAAACAAAAACAGUAACAAAAUUCAUCACUUCAAUAAUGUUAUUGGAGGGUUAGGUUUUUUUGUUUGUUUGCUUUUUGUUUACAUUUUGGGUCUGCCAAAAUGACACCUUCUACCUUUAUUCUCAGAAGUUUGUUUUCCCUCUUCUUCUCUUCCAUGUGGGACACUUAAAUAAUUUAUUCAUUUCAGGCGUGCUCUGAAUGUCAGCUCAGUGACCUCUCCCAGUUUCUCUAUUCACCUGCCAAAACCUGCAGGAAUUAGAGCAUACUGCCAUGGCACACCAUCCUGAGGCAGCAAAGGCUAGUAAAGAGUUUGACUGUCAAAAAAGUCCAUGGGAUUUAGAAUAUUUGUGUUCAUUUUAAAUGGCUGCUAAAUGGUCUACGUGGUUUUUUCUCUCAGAACUCGUUUAGGGUUUUAUUAACAGCAUAUAAGCAAUUAAGAUUCUCAGAAUAUUUCACUGAAUUUAAAUAAAACAAGGCCCUUAUCCUCUCUUUUGUUACAUGGUUUAGUAAUACCUUCCUAAGUUGCACAGUUUCAGGGCAGAAGAAAAAUCAAAUAUAUCCUAUGAAAAUCAAAAAAUUCUUUUUGUGAAAAAAUUAUCUUCAUUACUAAACCUCUCUUGCUUAUGAUUUUGAAUUGAGCGGUAGCCAGGAGAAAGAUAUAGUAAGAUUAUGAGCUUCCUAAUAUAAAAAUGUAUUUAAAAAAUACAAAAACCUUAUAACAUCAUUAGCAAAUAUGUCUUUGGAAGGACAUCAGACAAUAUUAGGUCAAUAAAAUAAUUUUAUGAAUUAAGAAUAUUAUAAACAGAAAAUUUGCAAUUGUAGUUCCAUUUUCUGCACAUUUUAACAAACUUAAAAAUCAAUCUAUUUUGCUUUCAGUAAUUUGUUUUAAACUACAGAGAAUGGAAAUAUAGUCUUUAAAAGCACCUGGUAGGUGCCCUAGUUGUGAGGAGAUGCGAACUCCGCAUCUUCCCACUUUGCCAUCUUGACUCCUCCUCCUAGUUUUUAAAAAAUACUGAGGAAUCUGAUAUUGUUUAUAUUCAGACAUUCUAAAUUAGGUGGCAGAAUUUCUUUCUGAGCCUUGUCUAAAACCUGACAUCUUGAUUUUGAUAAUUACACUGAGAAACACACCAUAAUAUAUAAGAAAGUGGCAGUAUCAUCUAUAUAAAUUUACCCUGUUUUUCCAAAACAGGAUGUAAAUAGCUAUCUUGCUGUCAAAAACAAUUUAAAUGGCCAGGAUGAUGUAUGCAUUAGAGAUGCACGUAUAGAGGGAAACACUUGAGUAAAUGGAAAUGAAGUCAAGGACUAAAUUACGUGAUAGAGACAUAAUAAUCAAAGCAACACCACUUGUUUUCAUAGUGCUUUAUAAAGCAGUUUUAGGAACACUGAUUGUCAGAGGUUGAUAGGAUCAGUCUCUAUGCUUCCAAAAAUGAGAAAACUGAGGCUUAGUGAGAUUAGGUGAUUUACCCAAGGUUACACAGAAAAUGGCAAAGUGGCAAGAUAGUUUUCAUUUCCAUUUUCCAUGACAGUACAGUGUCCAUAUUUGCUUUAUGAAGUGAGCUUUCCUUAUUCAGUGGAAGAGAGGCCUCAGAUAUUAUCUGGUGAUUAUAUGCGUUUUUAAGUAGAUAAGUUAUUAGUAAUUUGAUUUGUAUUUUCUCUUACCCUGUAUCUCUUUACUUCUUAAUCUUGAGACUGCAAUAUAUUUUGCAGUCUCCAGAAAACACCCUGCAUCUAUCUUUGGUUGCUAACUCAAAUAGCACAGGUUGAUUGAGCUCCUGUAUGUGUUAAGGAUAAUGACUGGAUGCCUUGAUGAUGAAAGCACUUGAAGCUUACAACCACAUAGAUUAAUAUUACAAGGCAAUUUCAGCCCUUUUUUUUUUCCAUGCUGUGAUUUAACAAAAGACAGUUGUCCUGUGUAUAGCACACUUAUUUUCUCUCUGACUUAUUAUGGAAUACCAGUAAAUGAGAGUGGUGUAAUUUCAGGGAUAACCUUAAAUCUGCCCUAUUUUGAAAAUUUUGGUAUUUCCACUAGUAUUGGUAGUAAGUAAUUUGUGGUACCUUUGCCAGUGAUUUUGAUUCAUCAGUGCUUUUUGAUAUUGUGGCUGGGAAUUAUUGAUGUAAGAGACUUCCCUCAGAGAGGGUAUAAUUGCUUUCAAGAGAGGAUAGUUAUAGAAGAAGGCUAACAGUAUGAGUUACAGUAUUCUCAUAGAGGUUGUUUUUCUUUUCGGUAGGACCUUGAAAUGUCCAACCAGAUGGACAGGAGGAAGGAUGCUAAACAUGAGAAUCUUCAAAAGAAUGUGAGCUCUAUGAAGCCAAGGAUAUUAGAUUGUUUUCUUCACUGACAUCUUUCCAGUGCCUGUGACAUUGCUGAGCUUAUUACAGACCCCCCUACAAAGACUGAAACCUCCUACAACUCUCUACUGACAUUAUUUCCUUACACCUCUGGCGCUACUACGGGGAGAGGAGUUCUCUAGG